AAAAGUGACAGAAUUUUUGUGUCGUGUGCUCUUUUUCUAAGCUUUAAAAAGAAAGAAUCUAUUAAUAUUAUACUGAAUUAACAUGUGACAACAGACUUGUCAAAAUUUGUCCCAACAAGACUAAUAAAGGCUGUUUGUAAUAAGUUGGUUGCCGACUUGUUAACAACUUUUUACGUGCGAACGGUAUCAGACUUGUUGGAACAACUUGUUGCAAGUCUGUUCGUCUCAUCAACCUUGUUACAAGAUGAUAACAACUUGUUCCAGACUGCAGUGCGAACACAUCUUGUUGACAAGCUGAGAGAUUUUCACUGGUGUAUUAGAAAGAUAAACUGAUUUGGAAGACUGUAUCGGGCUAUAAUGAUAGGACUGCAAAAGUGUAAUUUAGAUUUCAUUGAUUAUUACAGAUUAUUUAGCAGUGACAUUUGAGGAGAUAUUUUAUCCUUUUUUUAUUCUUAGACGCUAACUUUAUAGAACAUAUCAUUGUUAAAGGCAGAUCUCAUGUUGUUUUAUAUUCACAGACUGAAUUAAAAUGUGGCGGGACCAAGAUAA